AUGGACACUUCCUGUGCUCAGGAAGCACAUCAGCUGGGAGACUCGGAGUGGCCAUAGCCCUGAAUUUCAGCGUGGAGUCAGCAUGAAACCAAAUGUACAUUACGGCUGCGGUGAUGAGAGCGAAGCUUUUACCAUUUGUUUUGGACUCCCGCGCUGAUAUGAAUGGGAGCAGGCAGCUGUGGAUGGCCAAAGCAGGGCCACUGGAAGUAAAGCUGGCAUUGACAAGGGCAGACAGGUGCAGAAGGAAACCUGGUUUUGGAUGACAUUGGUCCCUGGACUGUAGAGAGCUCAAGCCCUGGCUGCAAAUCGUUUGCCUUGAAGAGACAUAAAUGAGAACCACAACUGCCAGAAAAUAAGGAGUGGCAGGAAGUUGUUGGAGAGGAUGCUUGGAUGGUCAUUCCUCCUCUCAGCCAGUAGUGAGCCUUUUGACGCUGCUGACUGCGACUGCUGAUAAGCUGCAUAAGGCAGGAGGUCAACAAUCCAGAGACUGCUCUUAAUUAUUAAAGGAUCAACACGUCUUAAUGCACGCAUCCACCGGGGAGGCCAGAGAACUGGGGCUCGGGGAGAGAAGUCUUCUCCUUCUCUUUACAUUGGCAAAAACAAACACACGAAGCAA